CACGGGCACUGCACUUGGCUGCGCAUUCAUACCCAGCUUCAACAUCGAGCCAUAGGAAAAGCAUACGAACAUCUUGCAAGAGUGAGGAAGACGUGCAAAACUCUGUGAUCCUGUCUGGAGGCAUAAGACCGCAUCACGCUCACUCCGGGGACGAAGUUAAUGGCUCCGGCCUUGGGACGUAAAUCUGUUUCUUCGUUCUUCCCAGCUUUGGUGUCAUAUAUCCUGGUAGAUCUAUAAGAUUAAUACUAUUUAGGAUGUUACGGGAGAUUAUACAACGUGAUUUUGAAAUGUUAAAAUUUUGGUA